AAGAUCGAAGAAGAAGACCAGAUUCUGCAUAUUUUGAGUGGUCUUGGCAGGGAAUAUGACCCCGUAAUGGUCACCAUUACCUCUAAAGUCGAAGCUUCCACAGUUCAAGAAGUGACUGCUCUAUUGUUGAGCUUUGAAG